rfam:Triticum aestivum genome assembly, contig: Triticum_aestivum_CS42_TGACv1_scaffold_592899_7BS
GUCCCUUCAGGGACAUCCGAUAAAAUUGAAACGAUAGAAAAGAUUAUCUUGACCCCUGCGCAAGGAUGACACAAAAAAAAGGAUAUCACGUACUACGAAUUU